rnacentral:rRNA from 1 species
UACAGAGGUCUCGAGCGUUAGGCGGAAUCACUGGGCUUAAAGCGUGUGUAGGUGGAUGCCUAAGUACCUUGUGAAAUCCCACAGCUUAACUGUGGAACUGCUUGGUAUACUGGGUGUCUUGAGUCACUCAGGGGCGAGCGGAACAAAUGGUGGAGCGGUGAAAUGCGUAGAUAUCAUUUGGAACGCCAAUGGUGAAAACAGCUCGCUGGGGGUGCGACUGACACUGAGACACGAAAGCCAGGGGAGCGAACGGG